rnacentral:misc_RNA from 1 species
AAAAGAGAAAGUAAUAAAAUAUUCCCCCCCUUUCUUCUCCUACAGUUUUCAAGUCUCCAAAAUUAGACUUGAACAUAAUUGAGUUCUAUUUCUGGAUGCCCAAAAAAGUUGGGAGAUAACAGGGAAAGGGUCAGGGAUGGGUGCUUUUUCUGUUGUUUCUCUGCUUCCUUUAAAGCGAAGACCAUCUGUGUUUGAGCAGAACAGCCCUCUCUGCCCCUCCAGAAGAAAACCCAAGAAGAGAAUUAGUCCUGUGGCAAGAUUAUUUGGGCCAUCAAUUUUUGAGGCUUCAAAGUUGAAGGUGUUGUUUGUAGGGGUUGAUGAGGAGAAGCAUCCGGCGAAGCUGCCGAGGACUUAUACACUAACACAUAGUGAUAUUACUGCUAGGCUUACUUUAGCCAUCUCACAGACAAUAAAUAAUUCUCAGUUGCAGGGAUGGUCCAACAAAUUGUACAGAGAUGAAGUUGUGGCAGAAUGGAAGAAAGUGAAGGGAAAGAUGUCUCUUCAUGUUCAUUGUCAUAUAAGUGGAGGCCAUUUUUUAUUAGAUUUAUGUGCAAGGCUCAGAUAUUUCAUCUUCUGCAAAGAACUCCCUGUGGUGUUGAAGGCCUUUGUCCAUGGAGAUGGGAAUUUGUUGAACAGCUACCCAGAAUUGCAGGAAGCUUUGGUAUGGGUUUAUUUCCAUUCAAACAUUCCAGAAUUCAACAGGGUAGGGUGUUGGGGCCCAUUAAAGGAUGCUGGAGCACCUUCUUCUUCUGGGGUGUAUGAGGAUGGGCCCCAUGAAAGCAAGCAGCAGGCAACCCCAGCAAGUAAUUGGAACUUGCCCGAGCCAUGUAAAGAGAACUGCGAGUGUUGUUUCCC